rnacentral:rRNA from 1 species
CCCUUAGACGUUCUGGGCCGCACGCGCGCUACACUGACCAGUGCAACAAGCAUCCGUCCUUGGCCGACAGGCCCGGGCAAUCUUUGAACGCUGGUCGUGAUGGGGAUAGACUUUUGCAAUUUUUGGUCUUCAACGAGGAAUUCCUAGUAAACGCAAGUCAUCAACUUGCAUUGAUUACGUCCCUGCCCUUUGUACACACCGCCCGUCGCACCUACCGAUUGAAUGGUCCGGUGAAGCCUCGGGAUUGGCGCGCACCUCGGUGCCGCCGAGAAGUUGGCUAAACCUUACCAUUUAGAGGAAGGUGAAGUCGUANCA